rnacentral:miRNA from 1 species
UCAGGUACCUGAUGUAGCGCG